CACAAAACACAAGGGGUUUGGUCUAGGACUCUCCUGUCCUUUGAUUUCCUAGGUAUAGGGGAACCCCCAGAAGCCCCGUCCCCCUAGUUGCUUCCUCUGAUCUGUGAAUUCUGGCUUCUCUAACAUUUCUGAUAUGAUGAUUCAGGAAAAAAGUGGACUUGUCAGAGAGAGGAAGGGAAGAUAAAAAUAAAAUCAAGUUAGCCAGGCCUAUGAGUUCCUCUCAUCUUAGUCAUCCCCCGCUGCCCUUCCCCAUGAACAUCCACAAUCUUAAAAAUCCCACAGCCCUGCGCAGAGUGGGAGCCAGACUUUGGGGUCCAGGUCAAGGCCAGAGGGUAAAGGGGACAUGAUUCAGCCCUGUGGGCCUGCGGACGGACGGGGGGAGUGGGGGGCCCUGCAGGCCCCCCCGCCGCCGAGGACGCAGGGCUGUGGGCUAUGAGUCCUGCCUCACCCUGCAGCCUGCACCGCCUCUGCUUCUCCAAGCGGGAGCCGCCGAGUGAUUGAUGGGCCCCAGCUUGAAUGGAAAGUCCAGAUUCCAGCAACACAGCUUAAGAGGUGAUGGUGAUUUUCGACUCAUUCCCGUUACAAACAGCCGACCUUCCUACCGAGUUCAAGUACCUUCUGCCUGGCCUGGAAGAACCGUAUCUCUCUGUCACCCUCUUCCUCUGGCCCUCACCUGCCCUCCCCUGAACAUGCAUUUUGCCUGAGAGGAGACAGAGGCGGUUGAGAUGGAGUCUUGCUAUAUGGCCCAGCUGGUAAUGCCUGGAUUCUUGAGUCCCUCCCUGGCUCAUCCCUGGGAGAAGCACCGAACCCCAUGUCUGACACCUGUCCGGAAAUGGAGCCUGCACAUUGACCCUAGGUGCUUGCAGCUUGGUCCAGGACGCCAGCGGGACCAGACAGAAGACCACAGCGACACGUGGGGAUGGCUGUUCCACAGGCAGAAAUGGGCAGCCAGGAGGAAGUCCGGGCAGCCAGCCACCCAGCUCCUUCCACAUCGUGGCCCUAGAACGGAGUCUUGAAGAAUAAGAAGCCACAGCUUGUCAGGGAAUCAGUCUGGAAAAAUGUUAUGAGACCAGAGGUAGGUAGGUUUGGGUACCAGCGAAACAGGGAAGGUGUGGCAGCAGGGAGCAGGGUGCUGGGCACAGAGAG
rnacentral:lncRNA from 1 species